rnacentral:lncRNA from 1 species
UAAUGUUUAAUACCAAAGAAGAGUAAUGAAUAAAUCUAUCUCUACAACUUAUUCACUACUUGAAAAUCUGUUUUAUGUCAAGACUCAAAUAAUCUCUCUCGACAACUACUCAAAUCUGGUUUUCAACUUAGGGCAAAAACAGUAUUCAAUACAUCAACAAUCUUUAUCAUAUAUAUAAAUCAAAUGGAAUACAUGAACAUAUGAGAAUAGCUACUACCUCCAAUCUUGACAAAGGGGAGUUUAGCUCCUCAUCAUCAUUGUUACAAAGCAGAAAGUU